rnacentral:rRNA from 1 species
GACGGAGGGUGCAAACGUUGCUCGGAAUCAUUGGGCGUAAAGGGUGCGUAGGCGGUCUUUUAAGUCUAACGUGAAAGCCCAAGGCUCAGCCUUGGAAGUGCGCUAGAAACUGGAAGACUAGAGUGCCGGAGGGGAGAGUGGAAUUCCUGGUGUAGCGGUGAAAUGCGUAGAUAUCAGGAGGAAUACCGGUGGCGAAAGCGACUCUCUGGACGGUAACUGACGCUGAGGCACGAAAGCGUGGGGAGCAAAUGGG